rnacentral:rRNA from 1 species
CAGCAGCCGCGGUAAUACGAAGGGGGCUAGCGUUGUUCGGAAUUACUGGGCGUAAAGCGCACGUAGGCGGAUACUUAAGUUAGGGGUGAAAUCCCAGGGCUCAACCCUGGAACUGCCUUUAAUACUGGGUAUCUAGAGUAUGGUAGAGGUGAGUGGAAUUCCGAGUGUAGAGGUGAAAUUCGUAGAUAUUCGGAGGAACACCAGUGGCGAAGGCGGCUCACUGGACCAUUUCUGACGCUGAUGCACGAAAGCUAGGGGAGCAAACAGGAUUAGAUACCCGCGUAGUCCCUGUCUCUUAUAC